GACGAACGCUGGCGGCGUGCUUAACACAUGCAAGUCGAACGGAAAGGCCCUGCUUGCAGGGUACUCGAGUGGCGAACGGGUGAGUAACACGUGGGUGAUCUGCCCUGCACUUCGGGAUAAGCCUGGGAAACUGGGUCUAAUACCGGAUAGGAGCCAUUUUUAGUGUGAUGGUUGGAAAGUUUUUUCGGUGUAGGAUGAGCUCGCGGCCUAUCAGCUUGUUGGUGGGGUAAUGGCCUACCAAGGCGGCGACGGGUAGCCGGCCUGAGAGGGUGGACGGCCACAUUGGGACUGAGAUACGGCCCAGACUCCUACGGGAGGCAGCAGUGGGAAUAUUGCACAAUGGGCGCAAGCCUGAUGCAGCGACGCCGCGUGGGGGAUGACGGCCUUCGGGUUGUAAACUCCUUUCGCUAGGGACGAAGCUUUUUGUGACGGUACCUAGAUAAGAAGCACCGGCUAACUACGUG
rnacentral:rRNA from 1 species